rnacentral:misc_RNA from 1 species
ACACCUCAACUCUUCAUGGUUUUCCAUGAUGAGCUUGGACUUUGGGGGUCUUGCUGGCCUGCGGUCGGCUCCUCUAAAAUGAAUCAGCUUUCCAGUGUUUGGUGGGCGUCACAGGUGUGAUAACUAUCUACGCUUGUGGUUUUCCCACCAGGUAACCUUCAGCAGUGGAGGUUCACUGGAGCUCACAGAUGUCUCUCCUCAGUGAGGACAGCCCUUUGAAU